GCCUAAAACUCUUCUUAACACUCUUUUAAAGUUUUAAAUCUCUAAAAUCUAGGCGAAGUUCUGUUUGUAACGCUAGCCUACGAAGACCUUUUUGGGAAGCUAACAAUUUCGGUUGUUUUAUCAAGACGCAAGGUAAGAGGCCCCAAAUAUAAAUUGUUGAUGAGUAUACGUGGAGCCAACAUGACUGUACAUAUGGGGCUGACCUGAAGGGAGUGGAGUUCUGCUAUGCUAUUUUAUAAA